rnacentral:RNase_P_RNA from 1 species
GCGCCAGACGAUCGCAGGCGCAUCCGCGCUUGAGGAAAGUCCGAGCACCGCAGGGCAGGGUGCCGGUUAACUGCCGGUGGAGGCGACUUCAAGGAAAGUGCAACAGAGAUAUACCGCGUAAAACGGCGAACGCGCCUUUGGGCGCGUCCGUCGCCCCCUCGGGGGACGUAAGGCUGGAAAGGCGAGGUAAGAGCUCACCCGCGGCUUGGCGACUUGUCCGCGCUGUAAACCCCACCUGGUGCAAGAUUGAUAGGGAAGCAUGGGCAGGCGCGCGAAGGCCUUCGGGCCGGAACGCCCUGCCCGGCGGCGGCCCGUCGCGCUUCCGGGUAAUCGCUUGAGCCUGCUGGCAACCGCAGGCCCAGAUAGAUGAUCGUCCAAUACAGAACUCGGCUUACAGACG